rnacentral:sRNA from 1 species
UUAGAUCAGGAAACACACCACAAUGAAU